CUUAUCAGGUCGCUCAAGGCACUAAAAUAUUAUACACCCGGGCAUAUCAACAGUGCUACAAAAGAAAGGACCUAGCUUGAACUUGAAGCAAGAAUGGAAGACAUGGAAAACUACCUGUGAAUCAAAGCCAUGACAUGUCAACAAUAUUCUGGUACCUCCAAGCCCCUACAAAUAUAAACAAGUUAAGAUGAGAAUAAUUUUAACAAAAUCAUCUUUUUGUUCCUUCCGAUCAAUAGCCAGAGUAUUAGAGGAGUAAUAAAAACUUGUACAAUGAGAACAUCAAAUGUGCCACAUUGUUAUCUCAUGUAAUACAACACUUGCAACACAGCCAACCCUUUCUCACCCUGAACCAAAGGAAAAAAUGCCACAGAAAUAAGUUUCCAGUGUCAAAGAAAUCAAGGUUUCACAAACUGAACAAUGAGUUCUGGACCCAACUUUUGAAGGUUCCACUUAAUUCUGUCUGUAGUUCAACCAUAAAUCCAGUAGAAUGGUCAGACUUAAGAACAAAGUUCUUUUAUAGUGAAAUAAGACAAAGUCCUUUUAUAAUGAAAUAAGUGGCAAAAUUUUUCAGUCCAUUGCCAAAGCUUAUCUUUUUCCCACCAAGUACAAUUAUGUACUAUUGUUCACUAGAACAAGAUUGGCCGAUAAUAAGCACAUAAUUACACAUACUUGCCCAAUAAUCCAAAUACUCUAAAAUAAAUGAGAAAUAACUUUAAAGUGCAAAAAUAUUUUUGUCAGGCAUAUUUAUUCAACCACCCAGGUGAAGCUAAAUCUAUUACCUCACAGUCCUCUAGACUCUUCUCCCUGCUCUUCCACUCUUAUACUGAAAGGAGAUGCCAUUGGCUCAGAGGCCACAACUAACUUAAAAAUGACAACAUAGCUCACUACUAGUUACCCACGCACAAAGAGAAAACUUAAAAUCUACAAACGAAUUUAAAUGAUUCAUUCAGAGGGGAAAAAAAUAAAAGGAAAAAAAAGUCCAACUUGCACCUGUUUAACGAAAAUAUCCCAGAAAAGUGGUCCAACAAUAGCAGUCUCCCAGUUAUGUAUGUGUAACACAUCAGGCUGCUUUCCAGAUUUUGUUAUAUAAUCCAAUGAAGCACGAGAAAAAUAGGAAAACCGUUCAAAGUCAUCUGAGUAGCCAUAUACCUUCUCACGGUUAAAAAAGGAAGAGUAGUACAAAGGUUGAAUAAAAGUAACUCCUAUGCCAUUGACAACUCCUGUCCAAAUUUUGUUUCCAUGCAAUUGACCAUCAAAAUAAGAAUAAGACUCUGCCUCAAUUUCUCUCAACCCUUGAAUUUCACUGAGGUUCAGACAUGCAUAC
rnacentral:misc_RNA from 1 species